rnacentral:rRNA from 1 species
UACAGAGGGUGCGAGCGUUAAUCGGAAUUACUGGGCGUAAAGCGCGCGUAGGCGGCUUUGCAAGUCGGGUGUGAAAUCCCCAGGCUUAACCUGGGAACUGCAUUCGAGACUGCAUUGCUAGAGUAUGGGAGAGGGAAGUGGAAUCUCCGGUGUAGCGGUGAAAUGCGUAGAUAUCGGAAGGAACAUCAGUGGCGAAAGCGACUUCCUGGACCAAUACUGACGCUCAUGUGCGAAAAGCGUGGGGAGCAAACAGG